rnacentral:rRNA from 1 species
GAUGAACGCUGGCGGCGUGCCUAAUACAUGCAAGUCGAGCGAACAGACGAGAGUUCUUGCACUCUCUGACGUUAGCGGCGGACGGGUGAGUAACACGUGGGUAACCUACCUAUAAGACUGGGAUAACUUCGGGAAACCGGAGCUAAUACCGGAUAAUAUUUAGCUUCGCAUGAAGCAAUAGUGAAAGACGGUUCUGCUGUCACUUAUAGAUGGACCCGCGGUGUAUUAGUUAGUUGGUGAGGUAACGGCUCACCAAGGCAACGAUACAUAGCCGACCUGAGAGGGUGAUCGGCCACACUGGAACUGAGACACGGCCCAGACUCCUACGGGAGGCAGCAGUAGGGAGUCUACCGCAAUAGACGAAAGUCUGACGGAGCAAUGCCGCGUGAGUGAAGAAGGUUUUCGGAUCUUAAAACUCUGUUGUAAGGGAAGAACAAGUACGUUAGUAACUGAACGUACCUUGACGGUACCUUACCAGAAAGCAACGGCUAACUACGUG